rnacentral:lncRNA from 1 species
AUGGACAUGUGAUCGAUAGAGCCCUCUCUUAUUCAUUUCCCUUGACCAUCAGCAUCAUUUUGAUGGAAAAAGAUAAAAGCAAAAAAAAAAAAAACCCAGAGCAGGAAAAGCAAAUGUAGGAGAACUUGUAAAUUUUUUCUUCUGAUUCCAAUCUAUGUAAAACAAGCAAAAAGAGUCUCUAUAUAUAGGUUUACAUAAAACAAACAGAGCUAAAAAAACCGUCAUCAAAUCCCACAACUAAUCCCACUACUCUGUUACCUAUUUGCAACUGUAAAAGAAACUUGUUUAAAUUUAGGAAACUAAUAGAUAAGAGAAAAACUCAUUCAAACUUUGAAUUACAUUUCAACACUCCCCCUUGAUUCAAAGUUACUAACUCCCAUAAUUUUUCUGAAAUUCUCAUGCUUUUCCAAUGGAAGCGUCUUUGUCAGUAUAUCAGCAACUUAUUCCUUUGUAUUACAAGAUUUUAACAUGAUUUCUUCACU